AUGGCGGUUCAUAGUGGAGGUGAAACAUCUCUUCCCAUUCCGAACAGAGUCAUUAAGCCCUCUAACGCCGAUGGUACUGCAAAAGCGGGAGAGUAGGUAGCCGCCUCU
rnacentral:rRNA from 3 species